rnacentral:rRNA from 1 species
GAUGAACGCUGGCGGCGUGCCUAAUACAUGCAAGUCGAGCGAACGGACGAGAAGCUUGCUUCUCUGAUGUUAGCGGCGGACGGGUGAGUAACACGUGGAUAACCUACCUAUAAGACUGGGAUAACUUCGGGAAACCGGAGCUAAUACCGGAUAAUAUUUUGAACCGCAUGGUUCAAAAGUGAAAGACGGUCUUGCUGUCACUUAUAGAUGGAUCCGCGCUGCAUUAGCUAGUUGGUAAGGUAACGGCUUACCAAGGCAACGAUGCAUAGCCGACCUGAGAGGGUGAUCGGCCACACUGGAACUGAGACACGGUCCAGACUCCUACGGGAGGCAGCAGUAGGGAAUCUUCCGCAAUGGGCGAAAGCCUGACGGAGCAACGCCGCGUGAGUGAUGAAGGUCUCCGGAUCGUAAAACUCUGUUAUUAGGGAAGAACAUAUGUGUAAGUAACUGUGCACAUCUUGACGGUACCUAAUCAGAAAGCCACGGCUAACUACGUGCCAGCAGCCGCGGUAAUACGUAGGUGGCAAGCGUUAUCCGGAAUUAUUGGGCGUAAAGCGCGCGUAGGCGGUUUUUUAAGUCUGAUGUGAAAGCCCACGGCUCAACCGUGGAGGGUCAUUGGAAACUGGAAAACUUGAGUGCAGAAGAGGAAAGUGGAAUUCCAUGUGUAGCGGUGAAAUGCGCAGAGAUAUGGAGGAACACCAGUGGCGAAGGCGACUUUCUGGUCUGUAACUGACGCUGAUGUGCGAAAGCGUGGGGAUCAAACAGGAUUAGAUACCCUGGUAGUCCACGCCGUAAACGAUGAGUGCUAAGUGUUAGGGGGUUUCCGCCCCUUAGUGCUGCAGCUAACGCAUUAAGCACUCCGCCUGGGGAGUACGACCGCAAGGUUGAAACUCAAAGGAAUUGACGGGGACCCGCACAAGCGGUGGAGCAUGUGGUUUAAUUCGAAGCAACGCGAAGAACCUUACCAAAUCUUGACAUCCUUUGACAACUCUAGAGAUAGAGCCUUCCCCUUCGGGGGACAAAGUGACAGGUGGUGCAUGGUUGUCGUCAGCUCGUGUCGUGAGAUGUUGGGUUAAGUCCCGCAACGAGCGCAACCCUUAAGCUUAGUUGCCAUCAUUAAGUUGGGCACUCUAAGUUGACUGCCGGUGACAAACCGGAGGAAGGUGGGGAUGACGUCAAAUCAUCAUGCCCCUUAUGAUUUGGGCUACACACGUGCUACAAUGGACAAUACAAAGGGCAGCGAAACCGCGAGGUCAAGCAAAUCCCAUAAAGUUGUUCUCAGUUCGGAUUGUAGUCUGCAACUCGACUACAUGAAGCUGGAAUCGCUAGUAAUCGUAGAUCAGCAUGCUACGGUGAAUACGUUCCCGGGUCU